rnacentral:rRNA from 1 species
GGUUUUAUUCGAAGCAACGCGAAGAACCUUACCAGGUCUUGACAUCCUUUGACCACUCUGGAGACAGAGCUUUCCCGUCGGGGACAAAGUGACAGGUGGUGCAUGGUUGUCGUCAGCUCGUGUCGUGAGAUGUUGGGUUAAGUCCCGCAACGAGCGCAACCCUUGAUUUUAGUUGCCAGCAUUUAGUUGAGCACUCUAAAGUGA